GCCAGACUCCUACGGGAGGCAGCAGUGGGGAAUAUUGCGCAAUGGGCGAAAGCCUGACGCAGCGACGCCGCGUGAGGGAUGAAGGUCUUCGGAUCGUAAACCUCUGUCAGCAGGGAAGAACGGUCACUGUGCUAAUCAGCAGUGAAUUGACGGUACCUGCAAAGGAAGCACCGGCUAACUCCGUGCCAGCAGCCGCGGUAAUACGGAGGGUGCGAGCGUUAUCCGGAUUUAUUGGGUUUAAAGGGUGCGUAGGCGGAAUGCCAAGUCAGCGGUAAAAUCGCGGGGCUCAACCUCGCUCCGCCGUUGAAACUGGCGUUCUUGAGUGGGCGAGAAGUAUGCGGAAUGCGUGGUGUAGCGGUGAAAUGCAUAGAUAUCACGCAGAACUCCGAUUGCGAAGGCAGCAUACCGGCGCCCAACUGACGCUGAAGCACGAAAGCGUGGGUAUCGAACAGGAUUAGAUACCCGUGUAU
rnacentral:rRNA from 1 species